rnacentral:rRNA from 1 species
GAUGAACGCUGGCGGCGUGCCUAAUACAUGCAAGUCGAGCGAACAGAUGAGGAGCUUGCUCCUCUGACGUUAGCGGCGGACGGGUGAGUAACACGUGGAUAACCUACCUAUAAGACUGGGAUAACUUCGGGUAACCGGAGUUAAUACCGGAUAAUAUAUUGAACCGCAUGGUUCAAUAGUGAAAGACGGUUUUGCUGUCACUUAUAGAUGGAUCCGCGCCGCAUUAGCUAGUUGGUAAGGUAACGGCUUACCAAGGCAACGAUGCGUAGCCGACCUGAGAGGGUGAUCGGCCACACUGGAACUGAGACACGGUCCAGACUCCUACGGGAGGCAGCAGUAGGGAAUCUUCCGCAAUGGGCGAAAGCCUGACGGAGCAACGCCGCGUGAGUGAUGAAGGUCUUCGGAUCGUAAAACUCUGUUAUUAGGGAAGAACAAAUGUGUAAGUAACUAUGCACGUCUUGACGGUACCUAAUCAGAAAGCCACGGCUAACUACGUG